UCUUCAUUUCACACGCUCUCUCACCGGUCAGAGUGACGAGAGAGUGUCUGAAUUGAAGAGA
rnacentral:pre_miRNA from 1 species